AUGGAAAUGAAUAAACCAGCCACAAGUAUUCACAGCAAGCGUUCUCAGCGUGAACGUGACGAGGCUUUAUAUGACUUCAGGACUGGCAAGUAUCCUGUCCUGGUGGCGACAGGUGUCAUGGCCCGUGGACUGGAUGUACCCGCUGUACAGUUGG